GACGAACGCUGGCGGCGUGCUUAACACAUGCAAGUUGAACGGUAAGGCCCUUCGGGGUACACGAGUGGCGAACGGGUGAGUAACACGUGGGUGAUCUGCCCUGCACUUCGGGAUAAGCCUGGGAAACUGGGUCUAAUACCGGAUAGGACUCCGGACUGCAUGGUCUGGGGUGGAAAGCUUUUGCGGUGUGGGAGGGGCCCGCGGCCUAUCAGCUUGUUGGUGGGGUGAUGGCCUACCAAGGCGACGACGGGUAGCCGGCCUGAGAGGGUGACCGGCCACACUGGGACUGAGAUACGGCCCAGACUGCUACGGGAGGCAGCAGUGGGGGAUAUUGCACAAUGGGCGCAAGCCUGAUGCAGCGACGCCGCGUGAGGGAUGACGGCCUUCGGGUUGUAAACCUCUUUCAGCAUCGACGAAGCGAAAGUGACGGUAGGUGCAGAAGAAGGACCGGCCAACUACGUGCCAGCCGCCGCCGUAA
rnacentral:rRNA from 1 species